CGAGCCCGAGAGCAAUCCACAACUUUUUUUUUUUUUUUUUAACUGGCUUUCAUAUUAAAAUUUAACAAAGGAAAAAAGAGGAUACAGAGUUCACAAAGAAGAAGAAAAAUAGAACAAAAUAAAAGAAAUACAACUGGUACUAAAGGAAAACACGAAGAACAACACCGAUAAGCAAAACCCUAUAAGGUGAAUAACAAUGGCUCACAAGAUGAACGAAAGUAAAAUUGGUACGACAAACUACCGGAAGGUGAAAAUGGUCAGACUACACAGACAAGUCACAGAAGCAACUCCGGGCCUUACAUUCGAUUGCCUUCCAGAGCUGUUAAUCCAGAGAGGAGCCGAAGCAUCCUCACUCUCGUCCAAACAAGCACUACCACUGACAAUUAAGCACACAGAAGGUGAGUAGCAACAUACGUGAGAGGCACGAGCACACACACAACUCCAAUGGCCGAAAGGACAUGUUGCUAAGGAGGAAGCUAGGUGUAGGAGAAAACGGGACCUGCACUGAAAGGAAGAAGACUAGUUCUGCCGCGGGAAAUCCAAGGGAACACCACGACACUGGGAUGAAACAGCCUUAAUCGUGCCGUCGAGGAGGAGAAACCGGAGCUCCAUGACCACGAACCCGAUAAACACCACCCACGAUACUUCUCUUAAAACAAGAGAGAGUUUCCUUACGAGAUAAUGGAAUCAAACGAGACAGAACGCAUGACCCUGAAGAUGAAGAACCAAGACCCCAAAGCCCAGAAGCCUGGAGAGCUCAAAACCAGGAAACGGGCUCUCCAACCCACCAUCUCUGUGAAACCGAAGAGAGCAAAGACAGGGGAAGCUUGACCAGACAGCCGACGCCUGAGUACCAGACACUAUCCUUUGAGCAACACGCGCCAACACCUUUGUGAGCAAAGCCCACGAAGCCCUACUUGGGUAUGAAUGGCAAGUCGCUGUCGCCGAGACACCAAGGCAGAGAGCCAACCCCACAUCAACACAGACCGCUGACAGAUCUGAACCGAUUGAGCCAUCUCCGUGACUCACGCGCCUCCAGAACUGGCUAAGGGAGAAUCACACCAAAGAGAUCUGAAAAUCGGCAGAUCCAAAACCCUAGCCACCUUAAAAUCCGACUCCGCAACUAGCCGCACCUCCACGAACCUCGCUGUCCAACCAAGGCCACCGGUGACGACAGAUCUGGAAGAACCGCCAUGGUCGGACCCCGAAUCAAUCAUCAACCAACGACAUCAGUGCUUCAGCAUAUCGGCUAGGGGGAGAGGCUAAGUAACGAAGCAAAGGGAAAACGAGAGGGGAGAAGGAGGCACCGGCACCAGCGGCGAGCCGCCAACGCCGGUGGAAACGCGGUGGAGUUCUUGAGGUUGUAGAGAGAAGCGAGAGGAUUAGGAUAAGGAGAGAGAAUAAAAAUUCAUUUUAUGAGAGCAAUCCACAACCCAUUCUUAUUUUAGAUAUUCAACUUUUUAUUUUUUUUCCGGUUACGGCUUAAACACUUCAAUAAACAGAAUCUUUGGCCCCAAAUCUCUCUCAUUAUUGUUUGAUAAAUCCAU
rnacentral:lncRNA from 1 species